rnacentral:rRNA from 1 species
CGAGUGGCGAACGGUUGAGUAACACGUGAGUAAUCUGCCCUGCACUCUGGGAUAACUUCAGGAAACUGGGGCUAAUACCGGAUAGGAGCUCCUGCUGCAUGGUGGGGGUUGGAAAGUUUCGGCGGUUGGGGAUGGACUCGCGGCUUAUCAGCUUGUUGGUGGGGUAGUGGCUUACCAAGGCUUUGACGGGUAGCCGGCCUGAGAGGGUGACCGGCCACAUUGGGACUGAGAUACGGCCCAG